rnacentral:rRNA from 1 species
UGCGUAGGUGGUUGGUUAAGUUUGAGGUGAAAGCUCCGAGCUCAACUCGGAAAAUGCCUUGAAGACUAUCUGACUAGAGGAUUGGAGGGGAGAUUGGAAUUCUCGGUGUAGCAGUGAAAUGCGUAGAUAUCGAGAGGAACACCAGUGGCGAAGCGAAUCUCUGGACAAUUCCUGACACUGAGGCACGAAAGCCAAGGGAGCAAACG